UUGAACGCUGGCGGCAUGCUUUACACAUGCAAGUCGAACGGUAACAGGCCUUCGGGCGCUGACGAGUGGCGAACGGGUGAGUAAUGCAUCGGAACGUGCCCAGUCGUGGGGGAUAACUAUCCGAAAGGAUAGCUAAUACCGCAUACGAUCUGCGGAUGAAAGCGGGGGACCUUCGGGCCUCGCGCGAUUGGAGCGGCCGAUGUCAGAUUAGGUAGUUGGUGGGGUAAAGGCUCACCAAGCCAACGAUCUGUAGCUGGUCUGAGAGGACGACCAGCCACACUGGGACUGAGACACGGCCCAGACUCCUACGGGAGGCAGCAGUGGGGAAUUUUGGACAAUGGGCGCAAGCCUGAUCCAGCAAUGCCGCGUGCAGGAAGAAGGCCUUCGGGUUGUAAACUGCUUUUGUACGGAACGAAACGGCUCUGGUUAAUACCCGGGGCUAAUGACGGUACCGUAAGAAUAAGCACCGGCUAACUACGU
rnacentral:rRNA from 1 species